GUUUACGGCCAUACCAGCCUGGGUACGCCCGAUCUCGUCUGAUCUCGGAAGCUAAGCAGGGUCGGGCCUGGUUAGUACUUGAAUGGGAGACCGCCUGGGAAUACCAGGUGCUGUAAGCU
rnacentral:rRNA from 1 species